GACGAAGGGGGCUAGCGUUGUUCGGAAUUACUGGGCGUAAAGCGCGUGUAGGCGGUUGUCCAAGUUGGCUGUGAAAGCCUUGAGCUCAACUCAAGAAAUGCAUUCAGGACUGGAUGACUAGAGGACCGGAGAGGAUAGUGGAAUUCCCAGUGUAGUGGUGAAAUACGUAGAGAUUGGGAAGAACACCAGUGGCGAAGGCGGCUAUCUGGACGGUUUCUGACGCUAAGACGCGAAAGCGUGGGGAGCAAACAGG
rnacentral:rRNA from 1 species